UAUGAAGAACGUAGCGAAAUGCGAUACGUAAUGUGAAUUGCAGAAUUCAGUGAAUCAUCGAGUCUUUGAACGCACAUUGCGCCCCCUGGUAUUCCGGGGGGCAUGCCUGUCCGAGCGUCAUUGCUGCCCUCAAGCACGGCUUGUGUGUUGGGCCUCCGUCCUCCUCCCGGGGGACGGGCCCGAAAGGCAGCGGCGGCACCGCGUCCGGUCCUCGAGUGUAUGGGGCUUCGUCACCCGCUCUUGUAGGCCCGGCCGGCGCUUGCCGACACAUCAAUCUUUUUUCCAGGUUGACCUCGGAUCAGGUAGGGAUACCCGCUGAACUUAAGCAUAUCAAUAAGCGGAGGA
rnacentral:misc_RNA from 1 species